UUGCUUGGAGCAGAGAAGUCGUGCAUUUCGAUUUUUAGAUUAAAGUUGAAACUUGAGGACUUUUGUCAGACAAAGUCAGAGAGCCGUGUCUCUCUGCAGUGAGAGGUUUUUGUACGACGACUCAAUCAGUUUGUAUCACUGUGGUGGACUUUUGGUGGAGGAACCAGACUGGAUGUUGGAAGUGAUGUCCGUCCCACCCUGACGGUGCUGCCCCCCUCCAGCGAGGAGCUGCAGCAGGGGAAGGCCACGCUCAUGUGCCUGGCCAACAAGGGCUUCCCCUCAGACUGGAGUCUGGCCUGGAAGGUGGACGGCAGCAGCAGCAGCAGCAGCAGCUGGGAGGAGAGCAGGAGCCCCGGGGUGCUGGAGAAGGACGGCCACUACAGCUGGAGCAGCACCCUGAGGCUCCCUGCAGACCAGUGGAGGAAGGUGGGCUCUGUGACCUGUGAGGCCACCCAGGGCUCCCAGACUCCGCUCUCAGAGACGCUGAGGAGAGACCAGUGUCCCCAGUCCUGACCUGACUCACUGGGACUCUGCUACUGGUUUAACUCUGAUACUGCGCUCACUCUGCAACUGUCUCUCUCUUUUAUUUGACAUGUUUCAAUAACAAUAUUUACUAGCUUGUUGCAAUGUUUCAAUAUUAUUUCAGUGUUUCCAGAUAAUAAAGACAUUUUCAUCAAAUCA